rnacentral:lncRNA from 1 species
GGCAGAGUAAAUCCGUUGAGCUACCCAAGUCUUCUUCUAAAUGACAGUCCCGUGAUGGGUCUUCUCUUCCCUGCGUCUCCUCUUCUAUGUCUGAACUUUGCUUCAAAUGACGUUACUUGAGACCUAUUUACUCUCUAUUUUCCUCUGGAUAUUCUCCUGUGUCUCUCUUAAAUUGUGGGCCCCAGAACUUAGCAUGAUGCUCUAAAUUGUUUGGUAUCUGAUACUUCUACUAACAAAGUCUAAGGUAGUCUAAGAUGGAUUUACCUCUUGGUGGCAGCCAUGUUGGAUUUAUAGCUCAUAUUAAGGUUUUAUUCAACCCUGCUUGACCGGGCUGCUUUGGUUGCUCCCUGACUGAUCUCCUUACUACCCUUGCCCCUCAGUGCCUGUUCUCUAACCAGCAGUGAGAGUGAUUCUGUUAAAACGUUUACCAGAUCACUCUCUGAUUGAACCCCUCCACUACCUUCCCAUAUACUCCAGCCACAAAGGCCUCUGAUGGCCUUGAGACAUUUGCCCUUGCUGUUCCUUCUGCCCGGAACGGUCUCCCCUCACAUAUCCUGUGCCUUUCAUCUCUUCCUUCAGGUCUUUCCUCAGAUGUCACCCUCUCAUCCCCACCCCAUCAUUCACCAUCUACUUUCCUACUUAUUGUUAAGUCAUAGCAUUUACUGUCAGCUAUUUGUUUGUUCCUGCUACUCCACGUCGUAUCAGAGGAUAGCCACGGGAACUUUUCCCGUCUUAUUCAUUAGUGUAUAUCCAGUAUCUAGAACAGUGCUUGGCAUAUAGUAGAUAGCCAAUAAAUAAUCGUUGAAUUGAGGUUCUUGUUGUUUUGGAAAGGAACUGUCGUUGAUCAGAGGCCUGCUUAAUUCUGUACCGUGUACUUCUUUUGGGGACAUUUAGAUCUAGUUAUAGAACUUUACAUCCUGCUAAAUCCCUUAUUGAAAUGGAAGAUAUGAAGGAAAUGAGGAAGGCAGCAUCUGAUCUGUUCCUAGCGAGUCCCUAGAUAUAUAUUUGGGACCAGAGAUAUGUAUUUUCCAAGAGCAAACCACAUUCUAAAAAUGAUAGUUUAUCAUUUUUUCAGGUGUCAAGAUCAAACCCUUCCCUCUCCCACUUAUGAAAUUCAUCCUAAAAGUAGAACAGGUUUCCUCUACCUCCAGUCUCCUAAUUUUUUUUUUUUUUCGUCUUUUUAGAGCCGCACCUGCGGCAUGUGGAGGUUCCCAGGCUAGGGGUUGAAUAGGAACUCCAGCUUCUGGCCUAUUCCACAGCCACAGCAACUCAGGAUCCGAGCCGCGUCUGCGACCUACACCGAAGCUCACGGCAACGCCAGAUCCUUAACCCACUGAGCGAGGCCAGGGAUUGAACCUGUAUCCUCAUGGAUGCUACUCAGAUUUGUUUCCGAUGAGCCAUGAAGGGAACUCCCUCCUCUAAUUUUUUUUUUUUUCUGAUUCUCCAUUUUUUCAAAAGAAUCUGUUUGUUUAGGCCAGUUGUUUCACUGGGCCCCAUCCCCUGGGUCUGUAGUGGAUUCUUUCCGUGCUCAGAGAGGGCUCAGAGAGAACACUUCUGAGGAGCUUUUUACGCAUAAAAAUUCUAAUAAUCCAGUUGUUGCUGGCAGUUUGCCGUUAUGAGCUAGUUUUCCUUUAGAAUUAUUGUGACAAUCCUCCCAUUUCCCUGGCUCCUCAAAAUGUCUUGACUUCCAGAAUUUUCUUGCCUCACUGUUAUCUCAGGCUCCUUGUUCAUCUAUUUUUAGCUUUCAGAUUUCACAUCAUUCUUUCUCUCUUUGAAUUUGAUCACAUUAAUAUGAUUUUCUGCCUCAAUGUAUUGAAGUUGGACUACUCCCGUUUUUGUUUUUCUGAACCCCAGAGCUUCAUUCAGGAAGUGGCCUGAGUGGAGUUUUGUUUCAGCUUUUUUUUUUUUUUUUUUUUUUUUUUUGUUGUUGCUAUUUCUUGGGCCACUCCCGCGGCAUAUGGAGGUUCCCAGGCUAGGGGUCGAAUCGGAGCUAUAGCCACCGGCCUACACCAGAGCCACAGCAACGCGGAAUCCAAGCCACGUCUGCAACCUACACCACAGCUCACGGCAACGCUGGAUCCUUAACCCACUGAGCGAGGCCAGGGACCGAACCCGCCACCUCAUGGUUCUUAGUCGGAUUCGUUAACCACUGCACCAUGACGGGAACUCCUGUUUCAGCUUUUAUUAAAGUGACAUUCCAACUCUUUGUUCAGAGCCUCACACACUGCUCCCUUUUCUCUUAUGGGUUUUUUCCCCUAAUGCCUGUGAGAAGUGAGUGGAUGUCAGCUUCCUUGAAUGUGGGAGGAGCUUUACUGGAACUUCACUGACCCCUCCCAUCUCACUUUCUUGGAACAUUCUUUAUCGUAAUUGCUUAAAUGUGUCAAUUACUUUAUUUCUUAGAAGGACCGUGUAUGUUGAUUCAUAUCAGGGGUAGUAAGAAUCCCCCUCUGUUUGACGUGGCGGAACCAAAUCCAUCAUCUUCCCUGAAGGCCCACAUCCCUCUGCCCCUCCAUCAUUGUUCUUGGGUCGUUGAUGGCAACUUGCAAGCCUGUAGUCUAGACUCAAACUGUGUGCCUUCGUAUCCUGCCUCUUCCAUUUACUGCCUGAGUGGGGUUUGGCAAUUUAUUUAAGUUCUCUGAGCCUCAGCAUCUGUAUAAUGGCAAUAAUAAAUAUUGGCCUCUAGGUUUGUUGUAAUGUUUCAAUGAGAUAUUGUAAUGCAAAGCACUCAGUACAGUUCUUUUUUCCUCUUCUACAAUAAUAUGCACAACUUUGGAGUAAAGGCAAGUAGUGGAAAGACUUUUUUAGAAGCUCGCCUACUGCCAUUUCACCUGGACCUGGAAGACGUGUUUUUUCUGGGUGAAGAAAUGUUUUCGCUGUGUGAAAGUUUCAUAAUCACAGUGUAGCCGUCCCAUGAGCCCUACAGUUUAAAGCGGCUCCACUCUUUAUCGAUGACAUUCCUGUCUACACCCUGGGAAUGAGGACACUGGUCCGGCUCCCGAGAGUCAAACCACUGACGUCUCUUUGAAUUCUACGCCAUGAUCCAUGGCUCUGGAUGACCAGAACCUGACAAGGGCACGCUCUGAAUUUCAGGCCAUGGGGAGGCAUUCUGAGUUCCUUGUGACCUUGGCUGAGUUCUGAGCAGUGCCCAACCCAAGUUCAAAGGCUGAUGAGAGAGGAAAACUCAUGAGGAGGUUUUACUCUAGGGAAGUUGUUCAGUGGAUGGGAUCUUGGCGCACAGAGAAAGAUGUCAGGCUCUUUCUGGCUCCUUCUCAGCCUCAUUCCUGUAACUGCUGCUCAGUCCACCACUGAGGAACUGGCCAAGACAUUUUUGGAGAAGUUUAACCUUGAAGCCGAAGACCUGGCUUAUCAAAGUUCACUUGCUUCUUGGAACUAUAACACCAAUAUUACCGAUGAGAAUAUCCAAAAGAUGGUGAGUUCUCAUGGCGACACAGGGGUAUUUGUUGCUUCUUAAAAAUCAGGUUAUUGCCCAGAAAAUGAAAAGGGAAAUCAAAGAAAUGCUCUGAGCAGUGAGAUUGGAUGUCUGCCUCCCUAUUUCUGAUUCUGAGUCCCAGAUGGCUAAACAAUUGACCUUUGGGUUCAUUUGGGAAAUUGUUACAAAAUAAUUCGCUGGUCUCAGUCCAGAUUCUUGGAAACCAGUGAACAGGCUUUAGAAAGUUGCCACCAUAAUUCUCAUCAUAGUCAGGCUUUCAAAGCAUUUCAUGGAAAUGCCAUAAGUUAUUGUGUUAAUAAUUUCCCCAAGCCCACAAUGUCAACAGGAAUGUCUAAAGACGCUCUACAAAUGAUGUAUUAACUGAAAAAUGCAACUGGAGCUUUAGCGAAAGAGCUAGCUAGUAAUUAAGAUCGCAUGGGUCGGGUGAGGUUGGCCCUGGGAAGUUCAUUGUCAUGGAACUUCACCGUCAUGGAGCUCCGAGGGACUUCCAGGGGGUACGGAGUCCACAGAGCCCUCCAAGGAAAACCGGAAUUAAACCAGUGCUGACAAAUCUCAGAGUGCUCUGGGAAAGCAAGAUAUUUUGUUUGACAAGUGCAAGCUUUCAGGAAAUUUCUUCCUUCGCAGAUCCCAAAGCAGUGCUGGAAACGAAGCAGCAUUAUUUAAGCAAAGUUUUUUGGCAUUUGUUCCAGCAAUGCAUUCCUUCAAAAAGUGUAGUUCAGAAGCUUAUUUUUUCAAAUAGGAGGUUGCAUGUUUAAAGUAAAUUAUUGUUAUUCACUGGACAGAUCAAAUUUGAGAGCUGCUGCCUCAUUUGAGCACAAUUAGGAGAUUUUUUUUUUUUUCUUUUUAGGGCUGCACCUGCGGCAUAUGGAGGUUCCCAGGCUAGAGGUCUAAUUGGAGCUACAGCUGCCAACCUACACCACAGCUCAUGGCAAUGCCGGAUCCUUAACCCACUGAGCGAGGCCAGGGAUCAAACCUGAAACCUCAUGGUUCCUAGUCGGAUUUCAUUUCUGCUGCACCAUGACAGGAACUCCUUUUUCUAAACCUCAGAGAAAUCCAGGAGAUUUUGAUAGCCCACUGUUGUCAUAGGAAAGCGUUUUCUUUUUUUUCUUUGCUCAUAUUUUGGUCUUAGCUCUUGUCUCUCCACUGUUGCUUUUUUUCCUCACUUUUGAUUUCAUCGCUGCUCUAGGUGCAUGCAGUGCAUUGUAUGUUUGUUUUCAUUCUCAGCCAAAUGGUCCUGUAGGUGGUGGUGAAGGCUUACCAGCAUCAUGCCCAAGAGCUCUGGAGCCAAACUGCUGAGGGCCAAAUCCUGGCUCCACUACUUUCUACCUGGGUCCCCUUGAGCUGGUUAAUGAACCCCUCUGCACCGUAGGGUUUUUUUUUUUUUUCCUCUCAACUAUAAUGUGACCCUCAUAUUUGCCUCUCAGAGUGGCUGUGAUGACUAUUAAUACAGAGAGCCACCAGUAUAGCGCUCAAUGCUUAUAAGCAUGGGAGAGCAGUAAGGUCUCAUGGCUGUGAGUGUGAGAGGGAGUUAAAAUCACUGAAAGGACAGGUAAGAGUUCUGAUGAGGGCCCAGAUGCUGAGAAGGCAAGUUACAGAGUGAGAUGAGGUGAUGUUUGUUGAAAUCGUCUCUGGAUCAUUAAGUGCUAUCGCUUCUAAAUUACACUGGUGGAUUAGAGGAAAGGCCAGAAACGAAAGGGCAUAAAUCCAUGAAGUGUGGUCAAAGUACACAAAGUGUGGGCCCUUUGGAGGAAAGUGAAAAUAUCUGAAUGCGGGAAGCAAGCAGGGGGCCCAGUAUCUCCUUCCUCCAGCAGUGGCGAAGGGUGUAUCAGUGCCUGUGUGAGUUUACCUGCGGAGGCGGGCCGUGCCCAGGGAGGAAAAUAGCUCUUCUAGUCUCUUAUCACAUGUAUGGAGAUCCCCUGAUGUAAUGGGCACUGCAGCUGGUGCUACAAGAGGUACCAGGAUGCCGGAAGCUGAGAUAAGCUCCGUUGCUGGUAGCCAAGGCUCAAGAAGGAAUUCGAGGAAUGGAGGAUGUCCCCAAGAAAGAACAACUAGAAUGAUCUAAGGUAAUCAGAGACAGUAGGGAGGGAAAGCAGAAUUAGCUAGGAAAAAAUUGACUCAAAACGAAAAACAAAAAUGAGUCUGAGAUGGAACGAGCAAGGAUAGUGUUCACGGUUGUACUGGCCAACUCUUCGUACUAGAAAGGUGAUGCUUUUCAAAGCUCAAAAGAGAUAAAUUUACAGUAAAUAGGAGGAGGUGCAAUUUACGUUAUAGGUGGUGAAACUGGUAAGCCUUGUAAAACUGGCCUUUUUUUUUUUUUAAUCUAAAAAAGUGAGGCACUAAUGAAUCCGACUAGGAACCAUGAGGUUUCAGGUUCGAUCCCUGACCUUGCUCAGUGGGUUAAGGAUCCGGCGUUGCUGUGAGCUGUGGUGUGGGUCGCAGUCUCGGCUCCGAUCUGGUGUUGCUCUGGCUGUGGUGUAGGCUGGCAGCUGUAGCUCCGAUUAGACCUCUAGCCUGGGACCCUCCAUGUGCUGCGGGUGCUGCCAUAAAGAGCAAGAAUAAUAAUAAUAAUAAAAGUUUUUAAAAAGUGAGGCAUUGAAAACUAUCACUGGGUUUCUGAAGUAUUUUAGCAAAUGUAAGGAUAGUGGAUCUGCUGCGGGUCAGGAAGGAUGGUGCAGUGUGUUUGUGGACCCAGUUCUUUGCCCGUCCCUCUAUCCAUGCCCAAGGUUGUGUCACUAUGUAGUGCCAGCCCACUGAAGGUGAUGUGACUGUGUCCUUUGCUGUGGGGCUUACUUUGGCCAGCGGGGUGUUAGGAGAUAUGAUGCAAGUGGGGGCUUGGAAUGGACCCGAAUAACGGGGCUUGUCUUUUGCACCUUUGCCUUUGCAUGAGAACAUGCCUGGGUUAGCCAGCCAAAGAACGAGAGAUGCGGGAGUAUCUGCUGCGGCGAGGUGGGUUAAGAAUCCAACUGCAGCAACUCGGGUCGCUGCGGAGAUGCAGGUUUGAUCCCCAACCAGUGCAGGGUUAAGGGAUCUGUGUUGCUGCAGUGAACCAGGGGCGUCCUGGUUCACUGUUCCCGGAUUGGGCGCUCACUGUUGCAGCUGCCCCACACCCCAGUGCACGCAGCUGAAGGGGUGUUGAAGACUAUCCUGCUGGAGGCCUGGGGGGGUCUCCGGGAACACUUCAUCAAUAGUCCUUGGUGACCUCCUGGUGGAAACAUCUCCUCACCAUAGCCAUCGUUGUGCUCUUGAGCCUUUUAUUUGGACCUUGUGUAAUUAAUUGUACGUCUCGCUUCAUUACAUGCCGAUCCGACGCUAUGGACCUUCAGAUGGUGAUGGGAGGGGUGCCCAGUGUCAUGCUUCGAAGCCCCCUCGCCGGUCCCAUGAGUGGAGACCUAACUGCUUUCCCCUAACGACGCCCUUUUCAGCAGGAAGCAGUCAGAGGGGUCGUCGCCCCCUUCCCCCCCCCCGCAGUUCAAGUCUCCAACUCUGGGGCGGGGGGUUGGGGCAGAAUAAUAACGCAGGGGUCGGUGUAGGAGCAUGGGCUUGAUGCAGUCUUCGAUAUGGCCUUUGAUUAACAUGUGUGGCUGAAGGGCUCCGGGAGUGACAUCCCCACAGGCCUUGUCUACUCCAGGGAGGGUGCCUACAGGCAGAUGGACAGUAACCCCCAGCCCCCUGUGACUCAGUCUACGGGACGAAAAGGGCAAAGAAACCAUGAGACUUACGGGACAUUUCCACCCCUAAGACCCUAUGGGACAAGGACUGAUAACGGUAACUGGGCAAGGCCAAUGGGAGAAGACCGCAUCUUUCUGGACCCCACGUUGGUACCCACCCCGGACUUUAAGGAAUAAAAACCCCUACAGGACAAUAGAGAGGAGAACUCUUCUUCCCCCUCGCAGCUGUCCUGGGAGAUGUUUGCUUUCCUAUAAUAAAGACUUUGCUUGCUGGCAAAAAAAAAAAAAAAAAGUUCUUGGUGAGUUAGCAGAAGCUGUGAUUGGAGAGCAGGAGGCCCAUACUUGCCCUUUGGGUGACUGGGGCCCCUAAAGUCCUUGGGCAACCUGCUUCCCUGACUUGUCUUGAGGGCUGGGGGCACAGUGAAUGCAGAGCAGCAUUUUUGUUUUGUUUUUUUGCUUUUUAGGGCCACACCCGUAGCAUAUGGAGACUCCCAGGCUAGGGGUCCAAUUGGAGCUGCAGCUGCCAGCCUACGUCACAGCCACAGCAACUCAGGAUCUGAGCCGAGACUGCGACCUAUGCCACAGCUCUCAGCAGCACCGGAUCCUUAACCCACUGAGCAAGGCCAUGGGUCAAAUCGGCGUCCUCAUGGAAACUAGUCGGAUUCGAUUCUGCUGCACCCCGACGGGACCUCUGCAGGGUCAUUUUAAACUGCUAUUCUGGGAGUUCCCAUGGUGGCACAGUGGAACCAAAUCCAACUAGGAACCAUGAGGUUGCGGGUUCGAUUCCUGGCCUUGACUCAGUGGGUUAAGGAUCUGGCAUUGCUGUGAGCUGUGGUGUAGCUCACAGACGAGGCUCGGAUCGUGUGUUGCUGUGGCUAUGGUGUAGGCCGGCAGCUGUAGGUCCGAUUCAGCCCCUAGCCUGGGAACCUCCAUAUGCCGCAGGUGCAGCCCUAAAAAGCAAUAACAAAACAAAACAAAAAAAAAGUGCUAUUCUGUACCCCAAGGAGGGAUGUAGACCUCAUCCCUAUCUCUGAGGGGUCUGGGCCACACUCUCCAACACAUGCAAGUACCUGCACACAGGUCCAAGGAUGAAGGUCAGUGUGGUGCAAAUGCAGGGACAUUCGGGAUAUCCGACGCUGCCUUGUCCUGCCCUAGCUGGCUGUGGUAACUUGGACAAGUCACUUAUUUUUGGUCUCUUGAAACGUAAGAGGGCAGACGGGCCCAGCCCUGAGUUUUCCGUGGAUGAUCAUGGUGAAUGGCUAAGUUCCACACGAGGAGGAUUAAGACACGUCAAGUGCAUGGGAGGCCUUGUGCUUACUAGUAUUUCUUUGUCAUGAAACCUUGAUACUGUCCCAGUUUAGUGAUGUAAUUUGGUGAAAGUGAACUUGAGCAACUCAAAAUGACAUGUUUUCUUACAUCCAAAUUUGACACAAUUACUCAAUGAUCUGAGCACCCUUGACAGGACACCAGCGGCCACCAGCUACACCCAGGGUGGGCAGCCUGGUGGUCAGAAACUACCACUGUUUCUUAGUGUGGCAGUUAACUGGGCAAAAGAGAAUUCAUUUUAUUUUGGCUAAAUCCUUUGGUUUGGAGCGAUUCCAUAGGGUUUUUAGAUCUAGUUAUAGGACCUAGGGAAUAUGGUGAUAUUUUUCUUUGAUUUUACUAUUGAGGGCUUUUAACAACAGCUUUAUUGAGAUACGAUUAUGCACCACAAAAUUCAUCAAAGGAUACACUUCAAUGCUUUCUAGUAUACUUACAGAAUUGUACAACCAUCAUCACCAUCUAAUUUUAGAACAUUUUUUUUGCUUAUUUAUUUAUUUAUUUUUUUAGGUCCGCACCUGCUGCAUAUGGAGUUUCCCAGGCUAGGGGUCGAAUCGGAGCUGCAGCUGCCGGCCUACACCACAGCCACAGCCACAGCCACAGCCAUGCGGGAUCCGAGCUGCAUCUGCAACCUACACCACAGCUCAUGGCAACACCAGAUCCUUAACCCACUGAGCAAGUCCAGGGAUCAAACCUGCAUCCUCAUGGAUGCUAAUCAGAUUCGUUAACUGCUGAGCCAUGACGGGAACUCCUCAUUUUAGAACAUUUUUAUCAUCCCCAAAA